CCUACGGGAGGCAGCAGUGAGGAAUAUUGGUCAAUGGACGCAAGUCUGAACCAGCCAUGCCGCGUGCAGGAAGACGGCUCUAUGAGUUGUAAACUGCUUUUGUACGAGGGUAAACGCAGAUACGCGUAUCUGUCUGAAAGUAUCGUACGAAUAAGGAUCGGCUAACUCCGUGCCAGCAGCCGCGGUAAUACGGAGGAUUCAAGCGUUAUCCGGAUUUAUUGGGUUUAAAGGGUGCGUAGGCGGUCGGAUAAGUUAGAGGUGAAAGCCCGAGGCUCAACUUCGGAAUUGCCUCUGAUACUGUUCGGCUAGAGAGUAGUAGCGGUAGGCGGAAUUGAUGGUGUAGCGGUGAAAUGCUUAGAGAUCAUACAGAACACCGAUUGCGAAGGCAGCUUACCAAGCUACUUCUGACGUUGAGGCACGAAAGCGUGGGGAGCAAACAGGAUUAGAUACCCGUGUAGUC
rnacentral:rRNA from 1 species